rnacentral:lncRNA from 1 species
UGCCCCAGCAGUGCGGCUCCCGUCUCCGCCCUUGGCACCGCAUUGCUUCCACUGUCUUGCCCUCAACUGUACUUUAGGCGGACGUGGAAAGGGAGACUCAUAGUUGGGCUUUUACUUUGGGUUCUGUGGCCCAGAAACACAGAGGGUUAAGGGACGGGGGUAGAGGCAGAACGAGAAAUUCGGUGCCCUUUCCGGAAGCUGCCCCGCCCCCUGGGUGAGUGUCAGUCGCCACGCACUACAAUUCCCAGCAUGCUAUUCGAGCAAGCCCGGAGGCGGAACCGGAGUGUCGCCAUAGCAACUGAAUCAACUACCUUGCCGGGACUUCUCAAGGCUAAGAAGCAGUCUCAAGGGAUGAGGAUGAAUGCACAAGGAACAACGCUUAGCCACAAAAGACUGUUGAAGCAGGCCACCCAAGCGGCCAGAAGACUUGGCCGACUUCCAAGGUGGGGCUGGGAGACCCUCAGAGGCCCCGGGGCGUUUCCAGAGCGGCGGGGCGCGCUCGACUCACGGCCGCCGCGGGCAGGAGCGCAGGUGAGCAGC